UACGGAGGAUCCAAGCGUUAUCCGGAAUCAUUGGGUUUAAAGGGUCCGUAGGCGGGCAGUUAAGUCAGGGGUGAAAGUUUGCGGCUCAACCGUAAAAUUGCCUCUGAUACUGAUUGUCUUGAAUUAUUAUGAAGUGGUUAGAAUGAGUAGUGUAGCGGUGAAAUGCAUAGAGAUUACUCAGAAUACCGAUUGCGAAGGCAGAUCACUAAUAAUAUAUUGACGCUGAUGGACGAAAGCGUGGGGAGCGAACAGG
rnacentral:rRNA from 1 species